UGAGGAAUAUUGGUCAAUGGCCGAGAGGCUGAACCAGCCAAGUCGCGUGAGGGAAGACGGCCCUACGGUUGUAAACCUCUUUUGUCGGGGAGCAAAGCGAACCACGUGUGGUUCAUUGAGAGUACCCGAAGAAAAGCAUCGGCUAACUCCGUGCCAA
rnacentral:rRNA from 1 species